AUUAAGUAUAAUGGGAGAACAUUUCCCCUAGUUCAGCUGGGCUGCUACAGAAGGCUGUGUCAAGGUCGUAAUGGAAGUAAGUGGUGGUGCUGGGACUCUAGAACACAUCCUCUGACUCUAUGUAACAUCGUCUCCCUAUCCAUGCAACAGAGGAGUGGGAAGAAGAAUCUGGCAGUGACAGCCAAAACCACCUUCUGCUUUAUCUACCCCUACUUCUCUGCAUGGCAAACUUAUACUAAUCUUCCAGGUCUCAGGGUAGAUGCUGAUUCAAAGGAAAGAAAGGCCUUCUCUGGCCAUGAGCACUACCUGUAAGAUAAAGAAAUCAGCCAGCCCCAGAGACCGUCUAUAAGAGGAAAGAGAAAGGAUGAACAAAGGGAGAAAACUGGAGAAUCAGAGGUGCCCAGCUGAGGUGCAGCGGACAGUCCUAUGUGCUGGGAAGGCUCAGGCAGAGGAUUCUCCUGAUGUGCAUGUGCAGGGAAAGCCAUUCUGAAGCAAGAGAACCAUUGCUUAUGAACCACAGAUUAUCUGGGAUUCCUCAAGCAGCAGCAAGCAGCUA